AGUGAACGCUGGCGGUAGGCCUAACACAUGCAAGUCGAACGGCAGCACAGUAAGAGCUUGCUCUUACGGGUGGCGAGUGGCGGACGGGUGAGGAAUACAUCGGAAUCUACUUUUUCGUGGGGGAUAACGUAGGGAAACUUACGCUAAUACCGCAUACGACCUACGGGUGAAAGCAGGGGAUCUUCGGACCUUUCGCGAUUGAAUGAGCCGAUGUCGGAUUAGCUAGUUGGCGGGGUAAAGGCCCACCAAGUCGACGAUCCGUAGCUGGUCUGAGAGGAUGAUCAGCCACACUGGAACUGAGACACGGUCCAGACUCCUACGGGAGGCAGCAGUGGGGAAUAUUGGACAAUGGGCGCAAGCCUGAUCCAGCCAUACCGCGUGGGUGAAGAAGGCCUUCGGGUUGUAAAGCCCUUUUGUUGGGAAAGAAAAGCAGCAGGUUAAUACCCCGCUGUUCUGACGGUACCCAAAGAAUAAGCACCGGCUAACUUCGUG
rnacentral:rRNA from 1 species